ensembl:lncRNA
UUGUUUGUUUGUUUGUUUGUUUGUUUCCACUCCUCUACUUCCACUCCCACCUUAAAUGCGGAUGUGUGAGGCAGUUGUGCCGCUGUUUUGCCCCAGUAAAUUGCCUCCCUGCUCUUUCUCCCUCUCCCUUCCCACCCUCUCCGUCUCUGUCCACGAUCCCUUUCUUUGCUUCCACUCUGUAAAAGUCACCAUGGCUGAUCCCUGUAUAAAUUUCACAAAUAAAAACAGUCCCUCUCAGAAGAUGGUAUCGUAUUCAUUCACAGGCCGUGGCCGUAAAUCUCAAUCCUAACAUGUGAAAAAUCUCCACAUGAAUAACUGGGCUCCGGGUGCAGCGUGACCCCGCCGUCUGAACAAUGGGCCCUCGUGUGCUCCGCAGCUUAGCAGAAGGCCAGGAAUUUCUGUUUGGAAGUGAUCGCUACUGUCUAUAUAAUAUUUAGGGGGGGGGGGGUGCUAGCGAAGCAACUGGCAGGGAAUGAAAGGGCUUCCUCUGCUGUGCAUCUGCUGGAGAAGGAUGUGGGCUUGUGCCGGCUCCUCCUUUCUGCGCUCUUUGCAAAUAGCACAACAUAGGAGACAGUUGUUUCUGGCUGCCCCUCUGCCUGUCAUGGCUGUCAGGAGAAAUCCCAUGAAUUAUGGCUUCUCCAGAUGUAAGGGAUCUCUAAGCUGCCUUCAACAGCCUGUGGUUUGUGGUAGACGACGAGAAAAGAGAGAGAGAUUGAGAGUGAGAGACAGAAAGACUGAGAGCGAGAGAGAGAGAAAAGCAAUUCUGUUGUCUGAAGAAAAAGAAGAAGAAGUCUAAACACACUUAGUUUUUUUUUUUUUAUUAUUUAGCUCACACCUUUUCUUUGUUUAAAAUGUAUUUUGCCGUGCAAGUGUUACAUUUACACAACUUAAGCCCUGAAGAAAUGUUAAACUAUUUGUCUUGUCAGGAGAGAAUGUAAGAAAUGUCAAGAACCAUUUCACUGAUAAUGCUGAGAGCCUCUGAUUAUUUUUGUGAGUUCUCUUUUGGUUCUCUCGUCAUUCCUGAAAUAAUAUAUUUGAGCUAAAUUCAAAAUGUAACUAGUUUACUCCCAUUUCACCACUUUAGCUAUUUAUCAUUUAUGUGCCUUGAGUGUUUUGUCUAUAUAGAAUUAGAGAAGACAAAUUAUGUUUUUGACACCUUAAUGACAUGGUGUACUUAUUGCAUUAUUAUGACUUGGCAAAUGGACAUUUUGUUGAAAAUUAUAAAAGCACAAAGUGCAUUAUC